UCUUUGGUAGUAUAUAGUGGUCAGUAUUUUUGCCUGUCAGGAUACUUCGUCCAGCGUGCGAGGGACUGGGGUUCAAUUUCCCGCCAAAGAG